UCUUCGGAGAGUUUGAUCCUGGCUCAGGACGAACGCUGGCGGCGUGCCUAAUACAUGCAAGUCGAGCGAAUCGAUGGGAGCUUGCUCCCUGAGAUUAGCGGCGGACGGGUGAGUAACACGUGGGCAACCUGCCUAUAAGACUGGGAUAACUUCGGGAAACCGGAGCUAAUACCGGAUACGUUCUUUUCUCGCAUGAGAGAAGAUGGAAAGACGGUUUACGCUGUCACUUAUAGAUGGGCCCGCGGCGCAUUAGCUAGUUGGUGAGGUAAUGGC
rnacentral:rRNA from 1 species